rnacentral:lncRNA from 1 species
UUAACGGGUAUUAUGGGAUAGUAUGUGAUGGGUAGUGAAAAACCAUUGUUUUACCUCUGAUUAGAUUGAUGCAUGAUGAAUUGUGAACUCUUUGGAUGAACGAAAUUGGGGUAUAAUUGAGAAAGAAUUCGUAGGAAUUAGAUGUAAAAGUGUCAAAUUUUGUGUAAUCGAAUAAGGUACGAAUUGUGUUGAAAAUAUGAAUGAUUUCUGUGUAGAAAUUGGACUGUGGAAGGUUGGUUUGAGUAGAUCUCGUAGCAGAGAAAGCC